CAUUUCCCAAAGGAUAUGGAUGACUAUCUAUGAAGAAUGAACCUUUUGAAUGUUACAUAUUAAAGUAGAAUCCCAUCCAAAGACUUAUUUUUAAAAUCAUAUGUUAGGAUUCUUACAAGGUGCCAAGUCAGUGGAAUUGAUGAGAUGAUGAUUCUCUAACUGUCUAUGACUAUCAGUUGAGGAGGUGAAAACUUAACACUAGUAAAGGAGUGCCUUCAUGUUCCUAUUUGAUUGGUGUUUAAAAUGGAAACUUGUGGUGGAAGAAAAAGAUAGCAGUUGAAGGUUAAAAUCUUUUCUGGAUUUCUCUUGUGAAGACUCAACAUUUCAAAACGAUAUGCUGAUUUGGAAGGCCCCAGAAGUGAAUUGCAAAAUUUACUUUUUCUAUUCAAUUCAUGGAUUUUUUAAUCAUUCCUUGGAUUUGGUGAAGUUCAAAGGAGGCAUGUGAUGGGAAAACUGAUAUGUCUGUGUUGUUGUAGCCCCUGAAUCUUGGAUUUGUUUGCUGUUUUAUUGAAGAGAUUCCAUUUUGAAAGACAGGGACUGAAUGUAAUGGAUUUAUCUUCAGAGAUGAACAGACAUGGGAAGAAUCCAGUAAGUCACAAACUAGAAGACCAGAAAAAGGUAAGAAUUUUUUUUUAAAUCAAAUUAUCUGUGUUUCAAACUAUUUAUGUCCUCUUAAAGUGACUGUGGUAAGCUAAAAAUCAGUGUACUUCAUGAGAUCCAAUAAUGUAUUUGUAUAAAGUAAUGUGUCACAUCAGGAAAUUCUGUGGGAGAUCCAAGUGUGAUUAUGGGUCUGCAUUUCAUUACUUUUGGCUAUUUUAUUCUUAAAACCUUCUAAAUUUGUCUAAAUAAUGGUUUGGCAGAAGAUUCCAUUGUGUUCUCUCAAUGUUGACUUCAUUCCAGUGAUCCUCUGAUCUGAAUUUAAAUUUGCCUUGACCUUAGAAAGGCUUGUCUAUACUUCUCAGUGAAUGUAAAGGCUUACUCUUGGACUCAUUCCUAGAGAUUGAGUGAUUUUUUUUUUUAGGGAAAUUUACCUUU
rnacentral:lncRNA from 1 species